rnacentral:rRNA from 1 species
UUACGGCUCAGUAACACGUCAAUAAUCUAACCUACGGUGUGGGAUAACCUCGGGAAACUGAGGAUAAUACCGCAUAGGAAAAGACAAUUGGAAUAUGUCUCUUCUGAAAGUUUCGACGCCAUAGGAUGAGUUGGCGGCAGAUUAGGCUGAUGGUGGUGUAAAGGACCACCAUACCUAAGAUCUGUAAGGGGAAUGAGAGUUUGAGCCCUGAGAAGGACACUGAGAUAAGGGUCCUAGCCCUACGGGGUGCAGCAGUUACGAAACCUUUACAAUGCGCGCAAGCGUGAUAAGGGAAUCCCUCGUGCCAUAGUUUUUAAUUAUGGCUUUUGCCAAGUCCAGAAAGCUUGGCGAAUAAGUGGUGGGCAAGACCGGUGCCAGCCGCCGCGGUAAUCCCGGCGCCACGAGUGGUGACCGUUUAUUGGGCCUACAGCAUCCGUAGCCGGUUAGUCAAGUUCCUUGUGAAAUCUGGCAGCUUAACUGUCAGGCGAGCAAGGAAUACUGACUAGCUAGAGAUUGGGAGAAGUUAGGGGAAUUCCUUAGGGAGCGGUAAAAUGUUUUAAUCUAAGGAAGACCAUCGAUGGCGAAGGCACCUAACUAGAACAAGUCUGACGGUGAGGGAUGAAAGCUAGGGGAGCAAAUGGGAUUAGAUAUUUUGUUUUCUCCAAAAAGUUUCUUUAAGAUUUUGAGAGUUGCUCGUAAAAAUUACCUCGUAAAAAUUGAAAAGAAAAAAUGAGAGAACAAAACUAAUUACCCCAGUAGUCCUAGCCGUAAACGCUGCCUGCUUGGUGCCGCACAUCCUCCGAGGAUGUGCAGUGCCGUAGCGAAGGUGUUAAGCAGGCCGCCUGGGGAGUACGGUCGCAAGGCUGAAACUUAAGGGAAUUGGCGGGGGAGCACAA